UACGAAGGGUGCAAGCGUUACUCGGAAUUACUGGGCGUAAAGGGUGCGUAGGUGGUCGUUUAAGUCCGUUGUGAAAUCCCUGGGCUCAACCUGGGAAUGGCAGUGGAUACUGGACGGCUAGAAUGCGGUAGAGGGUAGUGGAAUUCCCGGUGUAGCAGUGAAAUGCGUAGAGAUCGGGAGGAACACCAGUGGCGAAGGCGGCUCACUGGACCACAACUGACGCUGAGGCGCGAAAGCUAGGGGAGCAAACAGG
rnacentral:rRNA from 1 species